rnacentral:rRNA from 1 species
GACGAACGCUGGCGGCGUGCUUAACACAUGCAAGUCGAACGGUGAAGCGCCUUCCUUUUUGGUGGGUGUGGAUGAGUGGCGAACGGGUGAGUAACACGUGAGUAACCUGCCCCCUUCUUCUGGAUAACCGCAUGAAAGUGUGGCUAAUACGGGAUAUUCUGGGUCUGUCGCAUGAUGGGUCUGGGAAAGAUAUUGUUUCGGUGGGGGGUGGGCUCGCGGCCUAUCAGCUUGUUGGUGGGGUGAUGGCCUACCAAGGCGGUGACGGGUAGCCGGCCUGAGAGGGUGGACGGUCACACUGGGACGGAGACACGGCCCAGACUCCUACGGGAGGCAGCAGUGGGGAAUAUUGCACAAUGGGCGCAAGCCUGAUGCAGCGACGCCGCGGGAGGGAUGGAGGCCUUCGGGUUGUGAACCUCUUUCGCCAGUGAAGCAGGCCUGCCUCGUUUGUGGGUGGGUUGACGGUAGCUGGAUAAGAAGCGCCGGCUAACUACGUG